rnacentral:rRNA from 1 species
UACGUAGGGGGCAAGCGUUAUCCGGAUUUACUGGGUGUAAAGGGGGCGCAGACGGCGAUGCAAGCCAGGAGUGAAAGCCCGGGGCCCAACCCCGGGACUGCUCUUGGAACUGCGUGGCUGGAGUGCAGGAGGGGCAGGCGGAAUUCCUGGUGUAGCGGUGAAAUGCGUAGAUAUCAGGAGGAACACCGGUGGCGAAGGCAGCAUACCGGCGCCCUACUGACGCUGAGGCACGAAAGCGUGGGUAUCGAACAGG